rnacentral:lncRNA from 1 species
GAUUAUCUUCUGACCUCUACAGACAUUUGUCCCCCAACACACACACAUACACUCCACUCAUUAGUGCACACACCCAAUAGUUUUAUUUAGUUUGUCCAAGCUUUAGUGAACAACAAAAUUUGUAUUGUAAAAGGCAAUGCUGAGUAAAUAAUCUAUAGACCAAGGGAAAAUAGAAACUUUGGUGACUUUAUGUAGACAUGCAGAAACACUAGUCUGGCCAUAUCAAAAUAUUCAUUUGAAACAACAUAUUUAUUGUCUAUGUAUUGAUUUAUUUGUUUAAAAAUUAAUUCAUUUAAAAAUUAUUGCAAGAAUUGAUAAGUAUCAGGCCUGCACCAAGGCUUGUUUUGCUUAGACCCUUUCUUUUGUGAACCUUAUUUUUAUCUUAUUUUUUCCUGAACCAUUUCUUUCCUAUGUACUUCAAGGACAAAUUGCAAAAAUAAUCCCUAGAGUUCACUUAAAGAUGAGCUACAUUUAAGGAAAUGGGAUCCCUGUGAUAUCACCAAAUCUUACCUGUUGUACUGCAAGGGAAUUAUUUACUGGGGGACCUAUUGUGUGUCUUAUUCAGAGGAUGCUAUUCAAGCCAUCGAAGACAAUGGCAGGCAAAACCCAGCAUUCAUCUGUCCACUACUAUCACAUGAUGAUUCCACACUUGGAAUUAAGAUGUUGCGACUGUGCUAUUCAGACCGAUUUUAUAAACAAAGAUAAAUCAGUCAACAUUUCACUUGACACUGGAUUCCAAACAGUUUAAGAUAUGUCUCAUGGACACAUAAGCUACUAG